AUGUUAUAUGUUAUAUGAAUAUAUCAUAUCAUAUAUAGUUUGUGUUCAUGAUAUCAACAUGUGCCCCUGGUGUAGAUCUUGGUGGUAGUAGCAAAUAUUCAAAUGAGAACUUUGAAGAGUGAAGUGGGGAAAUGCUCCAUGUGAACAUCACUUGGACAUGGUCGGUUAGUCGAUCCUAAGAGAUGGGGAAUUCUUGUAUCAAGGGUGCACUCUGCAUGAACCUCAAAAGAGAAUUGGUUUAAUAUUCCUGAACUAGGACAUGGUGGUGUACGACAAUGUUAGGAAAUCUGGAGAUGUCAUUGGGGGCCUGGGAAGAGUUAUCUUUUCUUUUUAACGACUUUCCCACCCUAAAAUCGGUUCAACCGAAGAUAGGGUCCAACAUAUUAAAGAACACCACAUGUCUUGCGGUGUUUAGUGCCCCCUCGAUGACCAUUGAAAAUAUGGAGAACCGAGUACCAUCCAUGCCCGAUCGUACUCAUAUCUGCCUCCUUGGAUUUUUCAAUGUCCACUAGGUUAGCGAUCUUG
rnacentral:ncRNA from 1 species